AGUGAACGCUGGCGGUAGGCCUAACACAUGCAAGUCGAACGGCAGCACAGUAAGAGCUUGCUCUUACGGGUGGCGAGUGGCGGACGGGUGAGGAAUACAUCGGAAUCUACUUUUUCGUGGGGGAUAACGUAGGGAAACUUACGCUAAUACCGCAUACGACCUACGGGUGAAAGCAGGGGAUCUUCGGACCUUGCGCGAUUGAAUGAGCCGAUGUCGGAUUAGCUAGUUGGCGGGGUAAAGGCCCACCAAGGCGACGAUCCGUAGCUGGUCUGAGAGGAUGAUCAGCCACACUGGAACUGAGACUCGUUCCAGACUCCUACGGGAGGCAGCAGUGGGGAAUAUUGGGCAAUGGGGGAAAGCCUGAUCCAGCCAUACCGCGUGAGUGAAGAAGGCCUUCGGGUUGUAAAGCCAUUUUGUUGGGAAAGAAAAGCAGCAGGUUAAUACCCCGCUGUUCUGACGGUACCCAAAGAAUAAGCACCGGCUAACUUCGUG
rnacentral:rRNA from 1 species